CACUGCCGAGAAAAGCCUCUAGAUAGAAAAUAGGUGCCCGUACCGCAAACCGACACAGGUAGUCAAGAUGAGAAUUCUAAGGUGAGCGAGCGAACUCUCGUUAAGGAACUCGGCAAAAUGACCCCGUAACUUCGGGAGAAGGGGUGCUCUUUAGGGUUAACGCCCAGAAGAGCCGCAGUGAAUAGGCCCAAGCGACUGUUUAUCAAAAACACAGGUCUCUGCUAAACCGUAAGGUGAUGUAUAGGGGCUGACGCCUGCCCGGUGCUGGAAGGUUAAGAGGAGUGGUUAGCUUCUGCGAAGCUACGAAUCGAAGCCCCAGUAAACGGCGGCCGUAACUAUAACGGUCCUAAGGUAGCGAAAUUCCUUGUCGGGUAAGUUCCGACCCGCACGAAAGGCGUAACGAUUUGGGCACUGUCUCAACGAGAGACUCGGUGAAAUCAUAGUACCUGUGAAGAUGCAGGUUACCCGCGACAGGACGGAAAGACCCCGUGGAGCUUUACUGUAGCCUGAUAUUGAAAUUCGGCACAGCUUGUACAGGAUAGGUAGGAGCCUUUGAAACGUGAGCGCUAGCUUACGUGGAGGCGCUGGUGGGAUACUACCCUAGCUGUGUUGGCUUUCUAACCCGCACCACUUAUCGUGGUGGGAGACAGUGUCAGGCGGGCAGUUUGACUGGGGCGGUCGCCUCCUAAAAGGUAACGGAGGCGCUCAAAGGUUCCCUCAGAAUGGUUGGAAAUCAUUCAUAGAGUGUAAAGGCAUAAGGGAGCUUGACUGCGAGACCUACAAGUCGAGCAGGGUCGAAAGACGGACUUAGUGAUCCGGUGGUUCCGCAUGGAAGGGCCAUCGCUCAACGGAUAAAAGCUACCCCGGGGAUAACAGGCUUAUCUCCCCCAAGAGUUCACAUCGACGGGGAGGUUUGGCACCUCGAUGUCGGCUCAUCGCAUCCUGGGGCUGUAGUCGGUCCCAAGGGUUGGGCUGUUCGCCCAUUAAAGCGGUACGCGAGCUGGGUUCAGAACGUCGUGAGACAGUUCGGUCCCUAUCCGUCGUGGGCGUAGGAAAUUUGAGAGGAGCUGUCCUUAGUACGAGAGGACCGGGAUGGACAUACCUCUGGUGUACCAGUUGUCGUGCCAACGGCAUAGCUGGGUAGCUAUGUGUGGACGGGAUAAGUGCUGAAAGCAUCUAAGCAUGAAGCCCCCCUCAAGAUGAGAUUUCCCAACUUCGGUUAUAAGAUCCCUCAAAGAUGAUGAGGUUAAUAGGUUCGAGGUGGAAGCAUGGUGACAUG
rnacentral:rRNA from 1 species